AUUGAACGCUGGCGGCAUGCCUUACACAUGCAAGUCGAACGGCAGCACGGGAGCAAUCCUGGUGGCGAGUGGCGAACGGGUGAGUAAAGUAUCGGAACGUGCCCAGUCGUGGGGGAUAACGUAGCGAAAGUUACGCUAAUACCGCAUACGAUCUAAGGAUGAAAGCGGGGGAUCGCAAGACCUCGCGCGAUUGGAGCGGCCGAUAUCAGAUUAGGUAGUUGGUGGGGUAAAGGCUCACCAAGCCGACGAUCUGUAGCUGGUCUGAGAGGACGACAAGCAACACUGGGACGGAGACACGGCCCAGACUCCUACGGGAGGCAGCAGUGGGGAAUUUUGGACAAUGGGCGCAAGCCUGAUCCAGCCAUGCCGCGUGCAGGAUGAAGGCCUUCGGGUUGUAAACUGCUUUUGUACGGAACGAAAAGGUUUGGCCUAAUAAGCUGAGCUCAUGACGGUACCGUAAGAAUAAGCACCGGCUAACUACGUGCCAGCCGCCGCCGUAA
rnacentral:rRNA from 1 species